GUUUCCUGAAUCGGUCUGAGAAUUUGGCAUAAAACAUCACCAAAGAACUAGCAAAUUUAACAGGAAGUGUUAAACUAUUAUUAUGUAAUUAUGAUUCAAAUCGUCGAGUAAUUAGUGUUUCUGCUGUUUUCAUAUAAGACUCGACUCGUCUACGCUAUCAAAGUUGAAUUAUCCUCAGUUUUCAUCAUCAUCGUCACCACCAUCAUCUAAAUGCUUGAAACCCCAAUACGAUCCACUUUCCUGAAUUUUCUCAGCAACCAAAGACGGCAGGAAAGAGAAGAAAAAACUUACGCAAGAAUCCACUUGCCGUUGAGCAGAGUCAAGGCCUCAGCGAGGGCGGGGGUCGGGUUCUUGGCUUCAAGCUGUGAAAUAAGCUCGAAGAUCUCAGCUCUAGUCUCACUACUGGCAUUCAAUCCACCAUUGGUCCCAUAAAACGAAUCCACCAACUGUUUCUUGAGACUAUCUAUCUCCGUCAAAUCCUUAGGCUUCUGCUCUUCAUCUAGAGCAACCGCAGGGCCAGAGCCCACCUCUUCUGGACUCCAUUCUUCGUCGUUGACCACGGACCGAACCAAGAAGUGGGGCCUCGGCUUGAUGGGACAGGCAGCGACAAGUCUUGAUUUGGAGAUUGAAAUGGUGGUGUUGAUUGAGCAUAAAGGGAGAAUAGCGGAUGUAGAUGUGGAUUGGGAAUUUGGAGGAGGCCUAAAAGAGAGAAUGUUGCAUGGAAAGUGAUUGAAUUGAGAGAUGGCGGCCAUUUCUACGUUUGCUAGGUGGAAAGCCCUAAUAGAGUAUGAUUUUG
rnacentral:misc_RNA from 1 species